AGGACGAACGCUGGCGGCGUGCUUAAAACAUGCAAGUCGAACGGAGACCAUGGAGUCGCAAGACUCCGGAAGUCUGAGUGGCGAACGGGUGCGUAACACGUGAGGAACCUGCCCCAGAGACCGGGAUAACCCUCCGAAAGGAGAGCUAAUACCGGAUGUGCUCAUCGGAUCACCUGGUCUGAUGAGGAAAUGGAUUCCGCUCUGGGAUGGCCUCGCGGCCUAUCAGCUUGUUGGUGGGUAAUGGCCUACCAAGGCGACGACGGGUAGCUGGUCUGAGAGGACGAUCAGCCACACUGGGACUGAGACACGGCCCAGACUCCUACGGGAGGCAGCAGUUAGGAAUCUUGCGCAAUGGGCGAAAGCCUGACGCAGCAACGCCGCGUGGGGGAUGGAAUGCUCGUCGGGUUUAGUAAAACCCCGUUUUCAGGUCGGGACCGGAAUUAAUGAACGGUACCCGCGAAGAAGAAAGGACCCGGACCAACCUAACGUCGCCAGCAGCCGC
rnacentral:rRNA from 1 species